AUCUGGUGAUGAGGACAGCUAGCACAUAAUUUCUUGAAUCUCUCCCAAUACUCAUGCAAGCUUUCUCCACCCAUCUGUCAGAUGCCACAUAUGUCCUUUCGGAUGGU